AAUGAACGCUGGCGGCAUGCCUAACACAUGCAAGUCGAACGAAGGCUUCGGCCUUAGUUGCGCACGUGUACGUAACGCGGGGGAAUCUGCCCUUGGGUUCCCAAUAACAGUUAGAAAUGCCUGCUAAUACCGCAUGAUGUCGUAACACCAAAGAUUUAUCGCCCUAGGAUGAGCCCGCGUAGGAUUAGCUAGUUGGUGGGGUAAAGGCCUACCAAGGCGACGAUCCUUAGCUGGUCUGAGAGGAUGAGCAGCCACACUGGGAAUGAGACACGGCCCAGACUCGUACGGGAGGCAGCAGUAGGGAAUAUUGGACGAGGGGCGAAAGCCUGAUCCAGCAAUGCGGCGGGAGUGAUGCAGGCCUUAGGGUUGUAAAGCUCUUUUACCCGGGAUGAUAAUGACGGUACCGGGAGAAGAAGCUCCGGCUAACUUCGUG
rnacentral:rRNA from 1 species